GACCUCCAGUCGAAGGAGGCAGAUGGUUUAACUGUAGCCGCUAGCGGUGAUUCCUGUGGGAAGCACUUGUCUUUCAUUACUUGAGCAGGCACUCUGGGUUAGUGCCCAGUCUCCAGAGUAGCUUGUCCAUAAAAGCUCCAGUUUACCAGGUGGAGCUACAAAUAGGAGGAUGGAAAGGGACGACUAAUUUCACUGGUGGUGGUUCGCAA
rnacentral:lncRNA from 1 species